UACGUAGGGCGCAAGCGUUAUCCGGAAUUAUUGGGCGUAAAGAGCUCGUAGGCGGUUUGUCGCGUCUGCCCGUGAAAAGUCCGGGGGCUCAACUCCGGAUCUGCGGUGGGUACGGGGCAGACUAGAGUGAUGUAGGGGAGACUGGAAUUCCUGGUGUAGCGGUGAAAUGCGCAGAUAUCAGGAGGAACACCGAUGGCGAAGGCAGGUCUCUGGGCAUUAACUGACGCUGAGGAGCGAAAGCAU
rnacentral:rRNA from 1 species